UAAUAUUAUUUGGGAAUUUCACUUUUACAUCUCAGCUUCUAUGAACUAGUCAUCUUCUUUCCCCAAAUUGAUCAGGCUCCGUGCUCCAUUUCUAUGGUUCCGAUCAAGAGAGAGAAGUCUGAGGGGAGCGACAUGGAUUGGGGAAACGUGACCGCAGAGGACCUGAUCGACGCCCUUCGGGAAGUGGAUUGGUCCGCUCCCCCGCGCCGCGCCUCAUAUCGGAGUUCCUCUCCCGAUUCACCUUCCCCAAUCUUACUCCAAAUGGAGCAGUAGAUUCAAAUGCAACCUUUACUAGUAAGAUAGCUCUAAUGAUGUAAUUGUUCCUCGAAUUUGUUUCGUUCGAUGUGUUCGGAUUGCCUUUGAAUUUUUGGUUUUGAUGUUAUGAUGAUGAUACCUUUUGUGGAUUCUGUUGAUUUAUUCCUAAAAUGAGCAACUUUGUUUUUUGUGUGGAAGUUUUUAUUCCAUCGCUAAAGACGUAUAGUAUGAUUUUAGAUGUCCUUGUGCCCCUUAGGAAUUAGGAUACUGAAAUUUUAUGUUUUGUCUUAUUUUUAAUAAUGUUUAUGCGAAAGUUUAUCUUCCUUGCGAAAUUCUUUUGCAGCUACAGGACUAACUACUUCAUUCUUAUCGUAUUCGUUUUGGUAAGAAAAUUCGCUAGGCCGUGCAUAGUUUCGUUGAUGUUAUUAAGUUACAGGAUGUGUUAUUUUGCCCCUCCUAAUACUCUUUUUUCUGCACUUCUUACUACAGCAGUGGGAUUUCUUUUGAACCCUCUCGCUAUUAUAUCAGCACUGGUUUAAGCGUUGCGUUUUUAAAUGAUAGGUAAGGCUCUGCCCAUAAAUAGGUUGCUUCAGAACCAUACUGGUAGACACUAAAUUUUCAUACACUAAGGAAGAGCGAUAUUUAUCAAAAAAAAACGAAGAAGAAGAAGAAGAAGAAGUUAAGAUGGCAUCUGCUCGAUAGCAGAUGACUGAGAUAAGAGCAUUAGCAUUGAUUGCAUUGUAUUAGUUCUCCACAUUUGAUCCUUGGCAUAACUUGAUAGUACAUCAAAUCCUUUUUCAUUUAGGUGGGUGUUGCUAUGUUAAUUUCCAAUUUCCAUGUUAUAUAACAGUUAUUUAUUAUAAUGUUGUAAUUUACUAGAAUGGAUAAGGCAAUUGCCUAUUCCUAUGGUUGGAGGCUUUGCAAAGAUGAUUUGUCUUCCACCUAAGGAACUGAAAUUCAGUAUCCACCUUUCAUCUUAAUCACAUGAUGCUAUUCCAUCAGAACCUUCUCCCUUUUCAUUUAUGUUGUGAAAUGUUGGUCAAUUUCCUACAAGAAAUAUCACAAAAGGCCAAUUUCUUAGCCGCUUGUCUAAUAAGAGGUUAUUGGAAGAAGGGAUCAUGUGGUGUGCGCCACCUUGAUCAUUUAAUAUAUUUUGACAUUGGGUGCUAAAAUCACAUUUGAGUCUACAUGCUUGUGGUCACAUUUUCUGUUUGGUUAUGUAGAUUUAUUUUACUUAUACUAGUGUUGUGCAUUGGUAUCCUUUUAUGUUUCUAGAUUAAAGUAUGUCAACAAAUCUUUCCUCUUGUAACUUGAACAUCCUAUCCACAAGAAUAAACUAGACUAGAUAUUGGUCUUUUGGAUGUUUCAGGUAGAUGGCUCCUUAGCAGAUGUAAAGAUGGUUUCUAUAGGUAUAAUAGUUUCCUUGUCUAUUUCACAAUUGAAUUUUUGGUACCUCAAGAACCAAGUUUUCCUUAUUGAACAUCAAAAUAAAAUUUUAAAACUCAGCUUUUUGUUGGAGCUCACAUGGGCUUACAUUGUAGGCAAAAAUUUAAUAAUACCUUUGUGCCUUUUAUUGUAAUAUACUUAUCUAAACAUUAAUCAAUGUGAACAGAACUAAUGAUGCCAUGAUAAUUAAAACCAACCAUAUAAGUUGAUCGAAACAAUAUAUAAGCCAAUACGUAAAAGGGCUCCUGCUUACAAUACUUCUGUCAUCGGUGUCUGAAGCUUGCUAAGAGGUUUUGCAGCAGAUGCUUUUCCUUCCGUUUAAGGAAUUGAAAUUCAGUCUCCAAUUUUCUUUCUUGAAGCACAUUUGACUCCUUGAUCAGGUUCUUAUUAUUUUCUUUUCUCUAGUGAAAUGCAGGUCAAUUUCAUAUCACACCUUUUCUCGACCACUUUCAUCUAUAGGAGGAAAUUGGAAUCAGAGAUCAAAAUAUUGUUUGUAUCAACUAUAUAUCUACUCUAAAUGACAUUUUGACAUUGGUGGUAGAAGCAAAUUGAAUAUUUAUGCAGAUGCACAAUUUUCAUCCACCAGAAUUUCUGAUCAAUUAUUACACUAAUUUAAAUUACUGACAUUUCACAUUGUUUUUCCUUCGCGUUGCAAGGUUAUAAAGUAUGUCAAAAUAUGUCAUCUUUCUUGUAACUCAAAGACACUCGACCACACAAAGAACUGGAUUAGAUGUACUUCUUGUGGAUUUUCAUAAAUCUCCUUUCUCAUUGAACAACAAUUUUGUUUUUUAGCUCAAACUUGUCAUUGGAGCUUCCAUGGACUUGAAUUAUCAAUAAAUUGCUAUGUUUCGGAUAGUUUUUUAGGAUGAAAAAGAAAAAAAGACAUGUUUGUGUAUCUGUUUGUCAUGAUUUCAUCUUAUACAUGGCUUCAUGUGGAAAAAAAAAAUGCGGAAUGAUGCCUUUUCAGUCAUUGAUAAUAGAAAUGAGCUUAGGAAUUGGUCAAACCAAUAUUUAAAAGAGUGGAUGUCCUAUCUACACUGCUGCUGCCAAAGAGUUCUAGAAGUUAAGAUGGUAUUUUAUUUAACUGGGAAUCUGUGAUCUUGGUCAUCCAAGUUGCCAUAAGCAUUUGAUUUAUGGGCCUCUACUUAGCAAACAUAUAAUAAUUCUCUUUUAGACAACUGACAUUUUUUCCAGUGAUCAGGAUAUUGAUUUUGCUGAAAUUGUAUGUCUAAAAUUCUGAAUAAUGUUUUACAGUUGUUUGGAGUGAUCUAUUCAAUGAUUUAAAUGAGUUAUCAAGGUUGUGAACUUAACAUUAAAAAAUUAGUUGUGAUAUAUAAUUGUUAGUAUGCAAACAAGUUCAUCUUAGAGAUGAUUUUUGAUGUACAAAUAGAAACAACCAUUCUCAUUAGCGAGAAUGAAUCCUUAUGAGAGAACUUUCUAGUUUGGUGUUUCUUUUUUUCCCUUUGGCAUGUAGUAGUAGUUUUGUGCUAGUAUAUAUUAACUGCAAGUACGAUUUUGUACUGACAUACAAUUGUUUGUCUUUGAGGUUAAUUUUACAUUUCUUUUGAAGCUAAGAUCAACGGAGAAACAAGGUAGUGAAUCUGCUAACAGUAUCUUAAUUAUGUAAUGUGAAAACUAGAUGCUGCUUCUUCAUCUUCUUUUAAUGUAUACUUCAAUAUUAGUACCAGAGUAUUCUUCCCUGUUACUUCCUCUAAAUUGAAUAACUUCAUAGCUUUGCAGUUACUUUUAAUGAGAAAAUCACAAGGACUGUCAGACAAUUUUCUCCUCAUCUAGCUGCUGCAAAGUUGAGGCCGCCUAAGAACUUAGUAUUCUCUAGAGCUUAGUUAAUAUUAUCUCACCUUUAUCUUUCUUUCGUGUCAAUUAUAUAAUGACAUAGCCCUGUAAUUCGGGGAUGACCAUCAAUGAAAAGAGCAAUCCAUAUAUGUGAUCAGCCUCGCUGGGUGUUUGUCUUAUCUUCAGUCACUAGCUGCAUCCUAUGGUUGACAUCCUGUAACCUGCUAACAGUAGUGUGGGCACUCACCAUUGGGCUACUAGCAUCAAUACUUCAUGCAAGUUUCCAAUCACCCAACCUGAAAGCACGCCUUAAUACAUUAUGUGAGGAAUUUGGUGCAGUGUGGUGCAAUUACAGUGAGCUGUGAUCGCAUAGGUGAAAAUAUGUUCUUUCUCAUAAUUGUGAUGUUCUAUCCUCUUAUCUGCAGUGCAAGAUAGAAAGAUGUGACACUGGAUAUUGAGUACGACUUAAUCAUUGAGGUUUCUUAAGCUUUUAUACUACA